CGCCCCCAACGCAAACUCAGUUCUUCGCGUUCAUUUCAUUCUUGCCCUCAUUCCGCGCAUACUUCACAUCGUUGUUAGAUACGCCGAAUAGUCGCGCUCUUGCGCUCCGACAAGAAAAAAGUGAUCAGCUGGAAAUAAAUCAUCAGACACAUUUAAAAGACUGAGAUUGUGCAAACAUCCGCAGAGACUUUCAUCACUUGUGGAGGUUCAGAAAACACUUUUUCCCUCGAUCCGUGCCAGCUAGUUCACCACGGCUUCUUCGUAACAUUUAAGGCAAGGGUUUCUUUGAGGAAGGAUUCUCUGGCAUGGCUCCGCUGCAGAAAUAAAAGGACACGGUUUCAUCUAAGCAAAUACUACACUGACAAUCACAGUACAAGAUGUGCUGGCCACUAUACAACACAUACCAUUGAAAUGCAAAAGCCUCUCUCUCAGAGAAAGACAGAAAGAAUGGAUUUUUAGGUCAUCCUUAAUUGAAUUUGCUGGCUGAUGACAGAGUAAUAUAGAGACUAAUAGCAUUGUGUGCGCAUCUCGUGUCACUGCUAGAAAUGCACUGGAGGAAGGCUCUUUGUGAUCACUUACUGACACUGGAUAUAUGAAAACCCUUCAUUCAUUAUGUCUUCGCUUAAUAACUUAAUAAGCCUUCUCUGUUAUGUCCUGUGUAACUAAUUUUCUGAAAGUGGUAUAGGCUUACGAGGGUUAAUGCAACCAUUCGUUUUGAUUAAUUGAAUGGAGCAUGUAGUGGUGUUUCAACUAUGUAUUUUUAUUUGUUGGUUUUCACUGAAAUCAGAUCGGUUUUGUUAACUAUUGUCUCUUCAAGUUGCUGA